GUAAGCAAAAGGGGUUAGUAGGCAAGGCUGAUAGGGACAAGAAGCUGACAAAAGGCAAACAGGAUGCAAUUCAGAAGCAAACAACCUGAAGAGUAGGCCCUUCCUCUUCCCUGUACCUGUGCAGGCUUCUGCCCGCUAGGGACAGAGUGUAUCAGGGCAAAAAGCAGGAAUGAGAUUUUCAGACUCACAGCCCUAGCAUCUCCAAACAGUAUAAAAGGAUGGAUUUUGAAGCCAAAAGAGAAAUAGCUUAGUAAUCAGCAUAGCGUGGUUCUGGUGCUCCACAUGGCCUCUGAACCUAGUAUUGAAGUGUUUUUCCCUGGAAGGUCUUACAAAAUGGUAGUAGGGAUGUCAGAGGGGCCUCUGCUGAGAAAUGGAAGAGGUCCAACCCCUCUCUCCCCCAUCCCCAUUCUUCUUUCAGGUUUGCCUUAUGGAGCACAGCUGGUUGGGAGGGAGAAGUUCCUGAGUUCCUGGCUGGACCCCAGUUGUUAUUUGUCAGAUGACUGCUAGAAUUGGCCCACCCAUGUUCUGAAUUGGUCCCAAAGCAAGCAAUGACGAACUGUCCUCUGUCUUUCAGUAGACAAACUGUCUUCAGACACAUGAGGAUUUUGUCAGGACAGAAAUCAAACUGGUCUGUUGUGUGGCAUUUAACUGCCGAGCAUGGUUGACCUUACCUGAGUUUCUUGUUUGCACUGCAAGGCAGUUAAUAUCAUUCAGCUUCCCCCUCAGAGGUGUACGGGACCUGAUGCACUAAUAGAUGGAACUCCCAAACUGGGGCUCAUGGGUCUCGCUAGCAAAUGGUUCUGGCCAGCCAUGACCACAUUCACAUGAGGACUGAGGAGGCUGCUGGGAAAGACUUCUCCUGGGAGAUAAAUAAUCGGGUAAGACCAGCUGGAUCCACUGAUGAAACCUUGGUCACUGGGGGAGGAGGAUGAUCCUGAGUGACCCAUGUUAUCUGAUGUUGAGAUUUGUCUCCUGAGCCAAACUUUUCUGAGUGCUCUUGGGGGAGGGGGCAGUGAGUCAGUCUCUCACAGGGCUCUUUCACUAAAAUCCUGGAAGACCCAGAAGUACUAAAGCAAAAUGAAGGGGGAGCUUGUUGACCUCAUAACCCACCAUUUCAUAUGUCCCACUGCCCUAGUUGUGACAUGAAAUAGCCAGGUCUCAUAGAGCCCAGUGAAUAGUUGGCAGGGACAGCUUUGUUCCUGAGAAUCACAGAGACAUCUCUGGUGCUCCCUGAAAUAGGCAUGGAGCCCUUCCUGGGGCCUCUGCCCUUACACAAGCAGGCAAAGCAUGCAUGGAGUGGAAUAUGGAUUAUUCUCAUGUAACCUCAUCUGCCUGUCCAAGAUUGAGAGGACUGGAGUAUCUCAGGUUACCCUGAACAUAUUUAACUUCCAUCUCAAAGAGAGAAUUGGCUUUCUCUGAUAUCCACAGCCCACAGCCUUUUCUUAUUUAUGUCUUUUGCAUAUGGCAUUUUCUGCUUGGCAGGAGAGCUACUCUAAUAAGUCUCUCUGCCUUCGUAGGUUUAUGAAAUACCAGAAUAUGAGUUUUGUUAGCCUGUCUGUGUUUCUCUGUAACUAAGGCCCUGUUCUAACACAUAUCAAGCAGCUGUUUUGAACAGAUUCUUUGGCUCUCUGUGCAUAAUAUGGUAUUUACCCAUUUGCAAAUUCCAUGGUUGAUGUUUGAACAGUUGAUGUUUAACUUCAACAACUUGACUGAGCCUGUUGGUCAUUCUCACUUUGUCCGGUCUGUUAGGAUGUCAAACAGAUCCACAUUCCGCAAACUCCCUAGUGUGGCCUGAGAUCAUGUCUUGAUGGAGAUAAGGCCACUCAACAGAUAAGACGCUACUGGAAUCUUCAUGGCAGUAACAGCAUAAACAAAGAUAAAGCCCUCCAGAGAAACUUAGAAGGCACCAGCCAAAAUUUCGGAGUCACUGUGAUGCACUCUUUUUAGAUGACCUAGAGUAAACUUUGCUUAUUACAAUACUAAUUCCCUGGAGACAUUCUUAUCUGCCACUUUGUAAAACCUAAAAUGUAUGACCUUGAAUGCAGCAUGCUCAGAAGUGUGUCCACCUCUAUGUAUGAAGAUAAAUCUUUCCUACAGAAAUAUGUGUAUUGUUUCCUCAAUAAAACCUUAUUUUCUUUGGAUAGGGGCACUGCUUUGAGAUUGAUCUCUAAUGUUCUU
rnacentral:lncRNA from 1 species